rnacentral:tRNA from 1 species
GUGAUUGUGGCUCAGUGGUAGAGUACUCACCUAGCAUGUGUGAGGCAGUGGGUUCAAUCCUCAACACCACA